rnacentral:lncRNA from 1 species
CAGUGUCAUCAUUGCUGGCCAGCCUGCGGUCUACCUUCAGGCCCCGAUGUUUGUAAGUUAACAGCUUUGGCUGCUAUUUUUGUCUACAUUUCAUAGGCUGAUGUUUGGGCUUGGAGGUUUAAGAGGUCUCUUGGGCUCUGGUGACUCUUUUGGUUGGUAAUGUCCUCAUAUGACUGAUGUGACUCAGUAGUGGGAAGCAAGAUAACUUCAGAGAGCCACCAAGGCUCUUCCAGUGAGGCAUUUCAUUACAUUCAAUGCUGCUAUUUUUUUAUUUUAGCACAUUAUAUAAUUCUAAAAUAUUUCGUUUAAAGUGAAAUAAAUCUGCCAUAUUAUGAAUAUUUGCUGAAAUACAGACAAAAGUAAAACAUGACUUUGACUGAGUGACUUCAAAAUAUUUUAGUUUCUUACAUUUGGAAAAUUUGUCCUUUUAAUAUUUUCAAGUGGAAUUCCACAUGAUUUACAUCAUCAGGGUUUACUGUUCUAUAGUAAUGACUUUUGGCACUCUUGAGGGAAGGUUCUCGGACAAGAUAACAAACUAAAUACAGUACUGUACUGAAAUUUAAAUUAGUCAAUGGAAGGAACAGCAACACGUUUUGACUAACUGCUAACUGCUUUUUGACUAACUCUUUGGCUGGUAAAGCUAUUUUGUUUGAAUUCGGCUUAUUAAUGUACCUGAAGAUGUCACCCAGUCAUGCAGAGAUGAAAUCAAAUCAUAGUGAACAUCAGUGAAAAAAUAGCUGCAUUAAAUAAACAAAAAUUCAUUUUGGAAAUAAAAAAUGGCUGCCUUCCUAGAACUGAGCAGUAUGGGGAAAGAUUCAUCAGAAAUAGCACACUCAAGCCAGUUUGAAAGAUAUUGCUGUAUCAAAAAUAUAUUCAGUGUGAAAGUCAGAGAAGAUAUCCAUUUUGAAAGUGUUUUAUAUUUGAAAUUUUGGAUGCAACUUAAGAUUAAGCCUAGUUUGACUUUGGAAGCUGAAAUGGUUUUUCUGUGUUUUAGUUCUAUGGACCUAACAUCUUAUAAAUUUUGGUUCUACAUCAGCUUUUCAGUUUCAUCAGUAAUUAGUGUCAACUUAUAAUCAUCUUGUUGGUCAUAAUAAUUCUAGAAAACAUUUUUCGUUAGCUCUGCAGUGGUUUUCCUGGUGUAACUAUAUAUUACAAUCGAUGUCAAUUGAAAGUACAGUAUAGAAAUAGCUGUUAUACCACAUUUGUCCUGGUCCUUUCUUGUUUAUUCACUAUAGUUUUUAAAUAGUUAAUUAUGAUACUACAUUUCUUCCUAUGAUAUUUCCCAUCACUCUGUCAUAGAAACUUAUUCAUUUUGAUGCACAUGACUUCCCUGACUUUAUUAAAUUCAAACUGUUAUUAGUCAUCGUGUUAUUGCUUUCCAGGAGGUUUAUCCAUGCAAGCACGAUGAACAUUUUUAGUGUCUAUGCUACCAAACUGGCCAGGGAUAUUAGUCUUUUAGAAGGUCUUUAUCUUCAUCUUUAUAUCAGGCUACUACAUUGGCCAUUUUGUAAUGAAUUGCCUGUUGUCCACAUUAAGUUAUGUCUUGAAUAUACUAUAGUCCCACAGUGGGUGGCUGAGCUUGGUUGCACAUUCCUUCUGAAGCCGAGGCUAUGCUUCACCAGGUCCCACUGCAUCCUUUUUGUUCAGGUCAGUGAGUGGCUUUUGUACAUCUUUUCUAGGCAAAUAAAUGUGUUUUAUAAAACAUUGUUUCCUGUGUGUGUUGGCACUGGUGUCAUUAAAAGCUGUUCUUCUGCGAAUACACUUUGGAACUUUUCAUUUAUGGUUUAACACACAUUAUCUUCCUCCUUCAGCAGUAUAUGGUCACUUUUUAGCCUCUGGAUUGUUUCACUAACUUGUAAUUUGCCUUUCACAAACUUGAUAAAGAGGUUAAGGUCUGACUUCCUAUUAUUUUCGAUUUUGUUUUUUUCAAAGUUUUGCUCCUCUGCCUUUCUCAUUGGUCAUUUUCUGUAAUGUUUCCAGGCUUUUGCUUUUUCUUCCAUGCUUUCUAAUUUGCCUUCUUAAACCAAUCCUUUCUAUUGUCUCAUUACUGUAUUGUGGUACACAGUCCUGAGUGCCCUUUGUAUAUGCAGGAUAUCACAACAUUUUGCAUACAUUACUUGGCAUCAGUUUUUUACAGUUGACAGUCACACUCAACAUUCCUGAAGUAAUUUAGUUCCAUCUACUUUCCCCUUCUUGUGAUCCAGUUUCACAUUCUCCUCUCAUCCUUCCCCUGCUGCAAUAAUUUAUUACCCUCAAAAUGUGGUCACUCCUCUCAAUAUUAGUCUAAAUCUGUAUUUCAAAUACAGUAUUUUCUCUUCCAUGUGAAUAUUACAUCUAGUAAUGAAUAAAACAAUCCACCUAUCUCUCUCUUGCCUCAAAUGAAUCCCAGUUUAUCUGUUUCUAAUUAAAAUCUCUCAGGAUAUGUAAUUUGACUUCAUGAAUUACAGGUACAGUAUAUUGUUAGGAUGGUCAUAACAAAAAUUAUUGAUAUAAACAAAAAUGAAUUCAAUUUGUUCAAAAUAUGAUUUUGUUUAUUUUGCAGUGAUGGCCUACUUGCCUUGUCUCCCCAAGUAACCAAAUGAGGUGUCCCCUUAAUAGUGCUGAUCAAAUUUGUAUUUAUUACAUAUGGUACUGUACUAUUAGCAGCAAACUUUAAAAAAAAAUAAUAGUUUUUACUUUUGUGUAUGACAAACAGUGCUAGUACCACUGCCAUAUUUUCACCAAAUUAUGACCAGACAUUAAAUAUGCCAAUACUAGAAAAUAGAUGGAAAAGAGGCAGUAUGAUUUCAAUAUCAUUACAUACAAAAUAGUAACGGGAAUCGAUAAAAAGAACAGUGAAGAAUUCCUGAGACCUGGAAUUUAAAGAACAAGAGUUCAUGGAUUUAAACUAACUAAACAAAGCUGCCAAAGAAGUAUAACAAAAUUCACUUUCGCAAACAGAGUGGUAGACAGUUGGAACAAGCUAAGUGAGAAGGUGGUGGAGGCCAAAACCAUCUGUAGUUUCAAACCGUUAUACAACAAAGUACUAGGAAGACGGGACACCAUGAGCGCAGCUCUCAUCCUGUAACUACAUUUUGAAAAUUACUCAAAUGUCAUCAGCAAUUUUUUUUUAUCAAUAGUUAAUCUUUCAUGUCAUCUAACCUGUAGCCUUACUGAUGAUGCAGGUAGACAUCAUUACUACUACACUAUUUUUUCAGUUAAAGUAAAAAGGUGAAUAUCCUUUGAGUCCAGAGAAUCACCUUACACUAACUCACAUGGUAAAAAAAUAAACUUUUGGGGGAUGUUGUUGUUGUUUUAGAUUCAGCUACUCGAAACGAAAAGUUCCAAGCACUGGUGACGGUGAUUAUGGUGAGCCUGGCACACGCACCUGGCACAGGAGAUGGGGAAGGGUUGGAGAGUAUGUGUGAUGUAUGACUGGGUCCAGUAGGUAUGUCACCAUUACUGUAAUUAAUUUAAAAUUAGUAUUAAAUUAUUUUUUCAUUAAUUUUUUAUUCUCAUCUAGGAGUAUAAUAAACAAAAAUGGCGUAUUUAGUUAUAUUUUGUAUAUAUCGUACAAAAUAUACAUGCUGGAGUGACCAUAAAUUUUAUUAAAAUAUUUGGUGAAAUCAGGUCAGCCAGUAUUUUGUAAUGGAAGUCAAAGCUUCCAUUUCUGAGUUAUUUAAAAAUAUUAAAUUUUGAUUUUGCCCAUUCUACUGUAAAUACUGUAACUGUAUUCAAAAUAAUAUUAAGAUAUAAAAAAUAAAGAAAUAAUAUGCUGUACUAGGGUUGCUUUUUUCUACUGAUUAUUCUAUUUCAAUUAUUUACUGUAUAGUUAAAAAUGUUAUUCUUUGUUCUAAUAUAUGUUCUUUUUCCUUUAAUAAUUUCAUAUGUACAGUAAUUACAACUGUAUUGUUUACUUUGUAGUAGACUGUAUUAGGAAACCAAUAUUCCAAUGCAGUUUAUUACAAUUGCUUACUACAGUAUUAUAUUGUGUUUUAAGCUUAUUGAAACUUGACUUUUGACUUUUAAUGCACAACCAGAACACACGUGGUGGCCAUAUGUGAGUGGGACGUAUACAACAGUGUGUGCACAUGUGUGCAUGUCGUGUGUGCAUGCAUACUAACCUGGUAUGUGAUCUUCUAAGUCACUUGCAUCUUUCACGAACUUGUAUGUUCUUGGAAUUAACAAUGUAUCUUAUUUAUGUUCUUGACUACAAUCUUUUGGAAAUUAGUGAAAUCCAAUGCAUUAUUUGAACAGGUUAUAGUUAAUUUAUCUCAUCUUUAUUUGUAACAAAAAAGCUGAAACAUUGAAGCUGUUUUUCUUGAAAUUUUAAGAUGCCUGUUAUUUCUUCUCUUGUAGCAUGUUAAAUGACUUUUUUAUACAUACACAUAUAUUAUAUAUUUACCGGUAAUUUUAUUGACAAAAAUAUAAUUACAAAAAUAAAAUGUUUAAAUUUAUUGAUAGAACCCUCAGCAGAGCCUACCUAAUUGUUCUUUUGAGCUAAUGUGUAUGUGAGAGAGUGUGUGUGUGUGUGUGUGUAUGUGUGUGUUUGAGGAAAAAUGUUCAGGCUGUAAAUGAGUGCACUGUAUUUGUAUGGAACAUUUAGGGUUGAAUGCAAGAACUAUCCUCAGAUGUUUUGGAAGAUCUCUCUGGAAUAUAGGAGUCUCCUUAUACAUUCUAGAAUAAACAUAAUUUGUUAGCAUCGGAUAUUUUAAUUCUUUACUUGGGGUCGUUUUAGAUCCCAAUGGAAUCCUUUAGUAUGACAGUGUAAUUCAUCUAUAGAAUUACAAAAGGAGUUCCUUAAUACAGUAUAGUAAUCUUUGAGAUUAAUUAAAGAUGUAUAGAGUUUAAAGGAUUUUCUUGCUUUCUUUUCUUAAUGUGUAUGGAGAGUGGAGUGUUGUAGAUGGUUAUGUAAGAGUACGGUGAGGCCUGGGUGAUGAUCACCAGUUGCAAAGCUCUCAGUGCUUCAUGUAUCCUUCUCUUAACUAUUAUCAUAUUUCAGGAGAGGCUAUGUGACUCUUUGAAUUAAUACACUUGGCAUUAAUAUUUGAGUAAUAAUAGUUUUAUUUUAGUAUUUGUUUUUAUGUGGUAAGUAACUGAAGAACAUGGCUAGUUAAACUUAGCUGUUUGUGCUAAUUGCAGAUCUUUGGAGAUCUUUCAAGUUUUUCACUUUAAAUAAUCAUAAUAUCAUGUUGUCUCUUACUUGGAGAGAGUUCGGAGUCAUGUAAGAAUGAUUCCAUAGAAGUUUGAAAGUUUCACAUAAACCAAAGAGGCAUAAUGGCUGUAGUCCUCAUUUGUUGUGUAGAUGCCAACGCCGUGCCUCGCCACCUCCAGCCCCUUUCUCCACCCCCUUUUAAUUGUACAGUAUUUUGUUGCGAGCAAAGACUUUCUUUGCAUACUCUUUUUUUAAGAAGUGUGGGAAAGAUGUCUGAAUAUAUUACAAUAAUCCACAAAGAUUUACAAAUAAUUAUUCUAGAAGAUCAUGUCUGUAAAAUAGUAAAUGGUACAUGCCAAGCUUUAGAUGUACCCAAUAUGUACGUGCAAUGUUGAUAUGUAGCGACACCAGCUGUUAUACCUUUGUCAGAUUUUGUUUUGUAAUGAACCAUUUUACCUUGAUUUAGAAUGUGAUCUUUUAGAGUAACUGUACACAGAUGCAAUUACUGGUGUCACAACAUACAUGGUAGUGUAAGAUAACGAUUGUAGUGUAGAAUAGAUUCUGUAAUAAUCAUUUCGUUCAGACAUCUUUUGACAUAUUUGCAAAUUUUAUUGUUAUGUCAUUUUCAAUAAAGAUUUUCUUGUAUUUUAA